rnacentral:misc_RNA from 1 species
GUGAAUCAUCAAAUUUUUGAACGCAAAUUGCACUCUCUGGUAUUCCGGAGAGUAUGCCUGUUUGAGGGUCAGUUUAAAUAAAAAUCGGUGUGUUUCCUGCCUUUCUUGGUGACUCGCCGGAUUUGGGUCUUCUUGCCUUCGGUUGAGUGACUUAAAAUUUUGCAUGAUUUUGUUCGAACGUAUUUAAGUGAUUUUAGGUACUUUUGCGAUAUCG